GUAAAACAGUUCCUGGAAAAUCUAAACUAGUUCAUGGAUUUGCAUCAGGAUCUAUGAAGAUGCAACAGGCUGAUGUAAUUAAAAGGAGAGUGAAGGUGUUUUUCACGUGAGAGAA